GUUUGACUUUUGAUUAAUAAUAAAAGAAAUCACCAGAAGAUGUUGGCAAGUCGUCCACCUAUAAUAUAUCUGAACUCUUCGAGUUGUUCCAAUAUUAGUGUCGAUUUUCCAAAUGAGACACAAUGUUACACAUCGUUGGCAACCAUUUAUUUGGGCCUUAUUUUGGGCGUGUUUGGGUUAAUUGUCAACUUCCACAUGAUUUGGAUUUACGGGUUUUCUCGGAAACUGAAAUCGUGUUCGGAACAGUUGUUGUUUACUUACGGUAUCCUUGAUUUCGUGAGUUGCGCUAUAACUACAGUUGUUAAUGUACUCCUGCUGAAGAUUUCAGGAACAGUUGCUUGCGUAUCUUAUAUGCUUCUCUACAUGAUGAUGACACGAGUAGCACUUUAUUUGUUCACGUUCGGAGCAGUAGGAAGAUAUUUCAUGAUUUGCGUUCGUCAAGACGAGAGAGGAUUCUAUGGCUACAAGCGGACAAUACUCAUUCUUGUUUUUCUGCUUGCAAUUUCACUAGCCGAGACAAUUUUCCAAAUUUAUGUUGGUUGCAUUAAGUACGACCACGUUUCGGUGCUUUUUUCUGAACAAUAUUCGGACGAUUUACCUGACAAUGGUUCCUCUUGGUUUCUUAUAUCAGUUGUCGUUCUGGACUGGAUCAACUGGGUUCUACUGGUCAUCGUGACUCUAUUCAUUAUAUAUUUGUACUUCCAAAUCGCACAAACUGAGAGCAGUGAGAGUGAUGUACCCGAUUUCAGUUUCCACGAUGAGAUGUAUGAUCAAUUUUCUGAACGGAAAUCAAUAUCAAAAAUGUUCAAACUGUCAACAUUCCUGGCUAUUCUGUUUCUGUACCCACAAGUAAUCGUGCAGGCUGUUGGAUACUACAAGGCUGAGCGACAUAUCGGAGACUUCUUCGUGGAUCCGGGACUGAUGAUAAUGCUUACAAUGGUCUCCGACUUCAUCAACCUGCUCAUGUUUAUCAUGACGCCUGUGAUAAAUUUUUUGGUUAACGUCCAGUUCAGACAGGAGGUGAAACUUAUCUGGACCAGGAAAAUCUGGAGUUGCUGCAGCGAUUGUCACCAAAAUAGAAACGAUUGGGUUUCGACGCUGGAAGAUUGCGAUAUUAACGAGUGAUUUAAAUUGUUGCUGUCAAACGAGAAAAAUCAAAACUACCUGAUUUUGAGGUUAUUAUCAUUUGGGUUGUAGUGGGUUAAGGGUGCGGAAAAUUGGGGGAGGGGGUUGCAUGAGUUGUUUUUCAGCAGCUCGACUCUCUCAAGGCAUCCAUUUUUUACGGCAAAAUUUUUACAAACUUUAAAAAUAUGGUAAGCUUGCCAUCUUUUCCUAAAAUAUUGACUGCCGUGCACAUUUGUUGGCAAAACAAAAUAUAUAGUACGUUUUUUGGAAGAUUACUUAAGAAUCUAUACAAGACAAAAUCUAUUAAGGCACGCCCACUGUUUCGACCCCCCACGCCCAAUGUUCAUUGCAAUGUGAUGUAUUUCGCGUCUCCUACCACAUAGUUUGCUGUAGUUAACGUGCCCAAAUUAUUUUUUUUGCCGCAUUUGCUAUAUGCGUAGAACAGGCCAAAAAUUACGCCAAAUUGAAACUUUUGAAAUUCUUAUAAAUUCACAAAAAAUCACAGGUGAAAUAUCUUUUUGAGUUUGGUCAUUAGAAAUUAAUGUACUCUGAAAAAAGACCCCAGUGAAAAAAUAUCCAUCACUUUUUGAAAGUUGGAUCAAAAAGCAGCGUCUGACAAAACGUUGGGAAGAUUUUUCACAUAAACAUCUGGGGAAUACACUAGUACAUCAAAAACAUAUGAAACAUAAGACUGCCAUUUAGUUUUCCUGGAGUAAUUUUUUUGAAGUAAUGUACUGAGCGAUUAAUUCUCCGCUUACGCGUUAAUAGUUAAAAAGUUUUAAUUAAAGGUUUAGUGGAAAUUCGCUAUUGGUCUAGCUACAAAAACUAUCGAGCGCACAAAUUUCCCGUCACUUUCUUAAAAAUUAGACCAAAAAAGCACGGUGUCAUAUGUAAUUCAAAAAGAUGAAUUUAA